UACACGCGUAAAAAUUGAUCAGGUUGUUGCAACAUUGUUCACUGAACAACGUUGCAACAAUGAGGUUAUCAUGGCUGAACAACGUUGUUCAAGCGACAAUCGUUAACAACAUUGUUCCAACAACUUGUUCACGCUUGAUGAACGAACAAUGGUUGUUGCAACAUGAUGGAACAAGCGUCAACAAGGUUGAUGAAACAUGCUUGAUAAAUGUUGUGAGAACAAUGUUGUUCAGCGUUGUUCAUUCAUCAGGCGUCAACAAUAUUGUUCGAACAAGCGUGAACAACAUUGAUGAAAGAACAAGUUGUUUUUAGUUGUUCGAACAACCGUGAACAGCACUGUUAUAAAUAGACGGUAAAAUAAUGAUUUGAACAACACGAAAACGUGUUUUUAUUGGUUGUUGCGAACCGCUGGGAUGCAAAACGGACGAAUGCCACGAAUAUCACGAGAGCAAGAAAUCAAACGGGCUUUUACAGCAAAAUAAAUGUCGUUUAAACUUUGUGGUUUUUUCUGAAGAUUGAGGGGAAAAUACUGAAGAAAAUAACUUGGUAAGUGUCUUGUUUUGAGUUAAGGUUAGUUGUAAAAGCUUAAAACAACCCGACCUUUUGAUUUUAGUCAUUUUCAUAGUGCACGAC